UACUGCCGCCGCAUCGGCUAAUUGGGAGGCCGGGGCCUCCAGAUCUGGCACCGACACCGGCCUCCCCGCCGGUGGAUCCGGCUGGCUGGA
rnacentral:pre_miRNA from 1 species